AGAAACGGCUAUAAAAGUCUGGUUCGCUGCCUACAAUCAUCAAGAAACGAAUAUUAGAAUAGAACCAAUCUUAAGUUCUCAACCCUCUCUAUAACAAACGAACAUGGCUGGCAACAACAAGGCUCUGAUCACUGCCCUUUUGUUUCUCUUCUUUCUCUCAACUCAACCCAUCCUAGUACCUUCAUCAGCAAGAAAGAUCCUAGAGACGAAUGAAUACGGGAGUAAUGGCAAAGUGUAUGCGGCAAAGAAGAUACCAUCCUAUCAACCCAGUCAGCCGACUGAGGGAAUCCCAAUUGGGUAUGGGUAUGGGAUUCCCUGAUUGGAGGCCGCGAAACCAAUUCGUAGAAGUUGAUUGAAAUCUCCUUUUAAAGUUGGAUACCUAAAUAAAUUAAAUUACUUACGCCACGAUUGUAACAUAACAUUACAUAUUACGUGGAAAAGACCUUUUGCUAUGUUUACCAGCAAAAGAGAGGUAGGUGCUAUGUACUGAAUACUUAUGAAAUAAAAUCUAUAUUUCAAGGUAUCAGUUCGAAAAGGGCAAAAAAACUUAAAAUGGCCCUUGAAUUAUUAAGUUUGUAUGCUUUUGGCCCUUCAAUUAUUAAAGAUGCCAAAUUACUCA